AGAGUUUGAUUCUGGCUCAGGAUGAACGCUGGCGGCGUGCUUAACACAUGCAAGUCGAACGGAGUUUUUAACGGAAGUUUCGGAUGGAAGUUAAGAACUUAGUGGCGGACGGGUGAGUAACGCGUGGGUAACCUGCCUCAUACAGGGGGAUAACAGUUAGAAAUGACUGCUAACACCGCAUAAUAUAGUGAAACCGCAUGAUUUUGCUAUCAAAUAUUUAUAGGUAUGAGAUGGGCCCGCGUCUGAUUAGCUAGUUGGUGGGGUAAAAGCCUACCAAGGCGACGAUCAGUAGCCGGCUUGAGAGAGUGACCGGCCACAUUGGGACUGAGACACGGCCCAAACUCCUACGGGAGGCAGCAGUGGGGAAUAUUGGACAAUGGGGGAAACCCUGAUCCAGCGAACCGCCGCGUGAGUGAAGAAGUAUUUCGGUAUGUAAAGCUCUAUCAGCAGGGAAGAUAAUGACAGUACCUGACUAAGAAGCCCCGGCUAACUACGUGCCAGCCGCAGC
rnacentral:rRNA from 1 species